AGAGUUUGAUCCUGGCUCAGAACGAACGCUGGCGGCAUGCCUAACACAUGCAAGUCGAACGAAUAAGAGCCUAGCUUGCUAGGAAUUCUGUUAGUGGCAGACGGGUGCGUAACACGUGGGAACUUACCUUGCAGUAUGGGAUAACAACGGGAAACUGUUGCUAAUACCAUAUACUCUCUGAGGAGAAAAGAUUUAUCGCUGUAAGAUAGGCCCGCGCUAGAUUAGGUAGUUGGUGGGGUAAUGGCCUACCAAGCCUACGAUCUAUAGCUGGUCUGAGAGGACGACCAGCCACACUGGGACUGAGACACGGCCCAGACUCCUACGGGAGGCAGCAGUGGGGAAUAUUGGACAAUGGGCGAAAGCCUGAUCCAGCAA
rnacentral:rRNA from 1 species